rnacentral:rRNA from 1 species
GACGAACGCUGGCGGCGUGCUUAACACAUGCAAGUCGAACGGAAAGGCCCUGCUUUUGUGGGGUGCUCGAGUGGCGAACGGGUGAGUAACACGUUAGUAACCUGCCCUUGACUUUGGGAUAACUUCAGGAAACUGGGGCUAAUACCGGAUAGGAGCUCCUGCUGCAUGGUGGGGGUUGGAAAGUUUCGGCGGUUGGGGAUGGACUCGCGGCUUAUCAGCUUGUUGGUGGGGUAGUGGCUUACCAAGGCUUUGACGGGUAGCCGGCCUGAGAGGGUGACCGGCCACAUUGGGACUGAGAUACGGCACAGACUCGUACGGGAGGCAGCAGUGGGGAAUAUUGCACAAUGGGCGGAAGCCUGAUGCAGCAACGCCGCGUGCGGGAUGACGGCCUUCGGGUUGUAAACCGCUUUCGCCCGUGACGAAGCGUGAGUGACGGUAAUGGGUAAAGAAGCACCGGCUAACUACGUG